GGGAAUCUACCCUGAUCUGCGGAAUAGCUCCGGGAAACUGGAAUUAAUACCGCAUGUGCCCUGAGGGGCAAAGAUUUAUCGGUUCAGGAUGAGCCCGCGUCCGAUUAGCUAGUUGGUGGGGUAAUGGCCUACCAAGGCGACGAUCGGUAGCUGGUCUAAGAGGAUGAUCAGCCACAUUGGGACUGAGACACGGCCCAAACUCCUACGGGAGGCAGCAGUGGGGAAUAUUGGACAAUGGGCGCAAGCCUGAUCCAGCCAUGCCGCGUGAGUGAUGAAGGCCCUAGGGUUGUAAAGCUCUUUCAGUGGGGACGACAAUGACGGUACCCACAGAAGAAGCCCCGGCUAACUUCGUGCCAGCAGCCGCGGUAAUACGAAGGGGGCUAGCGUUGUUCGGAAUUACUGGGCGUAAAGCGCACGUAGGCGGACAUUUAAGUCAGGGGUGAAAUCCCGGGGCUCAACCCCGGAACGGCCUUUGAUACUGGGUGUCUUGAGUUCGGAAGAGGUGAGUGGAAUUGCGAGU
rnacentral:rRNA from 1 species